rnacentral:rRNA from 1 species
GAUGAACGCUGGCGGCGUGCCUAAUACAUGCAAGUCGAGCGAACAGACGAGGAGCUUGCUCCUCUGACGUUAGCGGCGGACGGGUGAGUAACACGUGGAUACCUACCUAUAAGACUGGGAUAACUUCGGGAAACCGGAGCUAAUACCGGAUAAUAUAUUGAACCGCAUGGUUCAAUAGUGAAAGACGGUUUUGCUGUCACUUAUAGAUGGAUCCGCGCCGCAUUAGCUAGUUGGUAAGGUAACGGCUUACCAAGGCAACGAUGCGUAGCCGACCUGAGAGGGUGAUCGGCCACACUGGAACUGAGACACGGUCCAGACUCCUACGGGAGGCAGCAGUAGGGAAUCUUCCGCAAUGGGCGAAAGCCUGACGGAGCAACGCCGCGUGAGUGAUGAAGGUCUUCGGAUCGUAAAACUCUGUUAUUAGGGAAGAACAAAUGUGUAAGCAACUAUGCACGUCUUGACGGUACCUAAUCAGAAAGCCACGGCUAACUACGUG